AUUGAACGCUGGCGGCAGGCCUAACACAUGCAAGUCGAGCGAGCGGCGGACGGGUGAGUAAUGUCUGGGAAACUGCCUGAUGGAGGGGGAUAACUACUGGAAACGGUCGCUAAUACCGCAUACCAUCAGAUGUGCCCAGAUGGGAUUAGCUAGUAGGUGGGGGAAUGGCUCACCUAGGCGACGAUCCCUAGCUGGUCUGAGAGGAUGACCAGCCACACUGGAUCUUAGACACGGUCCAGACUCGUACGGGAGGCAGCUGUGGGGUAUAUGUCACAAUGGGCGCAUGCCUGAGGCAGCCAUGCCGCGUGUGUGAAGAAGGCCUUCGGGUUGUUAAGCACUUUCUGCGGGGAGUCGUUACCCGCAGAAGAAGCACCGGCUAACUCCGUGCCAGCAGCCGCGGUAAUUC
rnacentral:rRNA from 1 species